ACACGUAGGAGACAAGCGUUAUUCGGAUUUACUGGGCGUAAAGCGCGUGCAGGCGGUCUGACAAGUUGGAUGUGAAAGCUCCUGGCUUAACUGGGAGAGGUUGUUCAAAACUAUCAGACUAGAGAGUGGUAGAGGAAGGCGGAAUUCCGGGUGUAGUGGUGAAAUGCGUAGAUAUCCGGAGGAACACCAGUGGCGAAAGCGGCCUUCUGGACCAAUUCUGACGCUCAGACGCGAAAGCGUAGGGUAGC
rnacentral:rRNA from 1 species